AGCGAACGUUAGCGGCGGGCCUAACACAUGCAAGUCGAGCGAGAAAAGGGCUUCGGCCCUUAGUAAAGCGGCGGACGGGUGAGUAACACGUAGGUAAUCCUCCCUUGAGCGGGGACAACGAGCCGAAAGGCUCGCUAAUACCGCAUACGUUUCUCGGGACUCCGGUCCUGAGAAGGAAAGCUAGGCCGCAAGGUCCGGCACUCGAGGAGGAGCCUGCGUCGCAUCAGCUAGUUGGUGGGGUAACGGCCUACCAAGGCGAAGACGCGUAGCUGGUCUGAGAGGAUGAUCAGCCACACUGAAACUGAGACACGGUUCAGACUCCUACGGGAGGGCAGCAGUGGGGGAAGUAUUAGACAAUAGG
rnacentral:rRNA from 1 species